CCCACAAAGCCAAGCGAACGUUGGGCCCGCCGCCUUGCGUCACGCGCCCGCUGAUCGACGGUCACGUGGGCGGCUGCGUUGCGUCCCCUCCCCUCCCCCCCGGCCUGGGUGGCCUGAGGAAGAAGGAGGGAGGUGGACGGAAGGGGCGGGGGCGUAGCUGACGACGACGCCGCCCCCACCAUUUUGGAGCGGCUUCUCCGGAGGCUGAAGGAGGCCCUGAGCCCCACCCACUCGCCCGCCUUCCUGCGUCCUCGGAACUUCUCCAGGCUGGCGGCCGCCCGGCGGCUUGGUUUCCAUUCUCCGCCAUGCCCUCCUCCCGCUUUGUGACCUUGAGCAAAUCGUUUAUAUAUAAAGCGAGUUCACAGGUUUUCCGGAAGUCGUCUACAUCAUGCCAUGACCAGGGCAAAAUACUGCAGACACAAUGAUGAACUAAAUGAGUGCCAUCUGCCUCCUCUCCAGCCCAGAGACUAUCCCAUGGUCCAGGUUUUACCCUUUCUUCUCAGCCAGUCAGUUCCAUCGAGUCCCCUCUCCUCCUCCACUGAUCAUCGUGGCUGUGGCUCAUGACCUUUCCCCGCCGUAACCAGUGCCACCACCAGCUCUGUUCAUCCUUUCAUUGGUGCCGUGGACUCGGAUAGGAGAUUCUGCUCACUCAGCAUCCGGGGCUGAGUGUUGUUGGAAACCUAUACCGAGGACCUGCAACUGCCUGCUAUGAGACGCAUUUGCCCAGCUGCCACCGCUGUCACAUGUGCUGCUGAGAUUGUUCCCUCUUCUAAUUAACUGAUCAACUAAUGGCUGCUUCGGACCACCACAGAACUAGAGUUCAUCCAGGGAUCAUCAAGUAAGAAACUGUAACAGCUAAAAGCCCACCUUCGGUAACUUCAGCCUGAGAGUUUGACACUGGCCGUGGAAACUGGAGAAUCCUACAAGCCUCGUCCUUCGGGAAAGCACCCCUCCCCCACAUCAUCUGUAUGCAGCCACCAGCAGAGCCCCAAACCUCACUGGGACUGAGUUUCCCAGCAGCCUGCAGAGCAGUUUCCAGCAGACAAGCUGAUUUAGAAUGCUUAAAGAAGACUAAAAACACAGCCGAAGCUGACCAGGACCGUCUCAUCCUCUUACCUCCAGCUCCCAGUGUUGAGAAUUACAGGCUGUGUGACCACAGCCAGAAACGAGGCGUUUCUUACAUCUAAUUCUGUGGACCAAACUGCUUUCAAGGCAUGCCAGCAAAGGAAGUCAAGAACCUGGUCCUACUGAUGCCAGAUUCGUGCCCAAUGUUCUGGCCAAUCUGGGCAUUUCUAGUUCUGAGGUUGUAGUCAUGUGCCACCAUGCCCAGCUCGACUGUCAAGAUUCCUAUGUGUUAAUUCAAGGAUGGCUUUGCUCCAUCACAAGCCCCUAUCUGCAGGUGAGGAAACAAGCUGACAAAAUCAGGACGCUAGGCUAAAAGAGCCUGGCAAGAAGCCGGAUGGACGGACAGUGCCUGCCGCUGACAAUUCUUCCAUCUGUACGAGCUCAUUUGACCACCAGGAGGCGCCAGAUGCCUGUGGAUGGGGAGGAGCGGGUGCCCGCAAAGGGCCUACAGUGAAUGGUCUUUUGAGAGCAGUUGGGGGACUGGGUGGGAGGGCACAUCCAGCGAGCCUGGGGAGUCGUGGUACAGAAAGCGUGUGUAAGGGUUGGGGGAGGUGUUGUAAGAGAGCCAGGGUUCAGGAACGUUGGCGGCUGGAAUCGGAGCCGAGGGCAUGCUGUGGCCUCCUGGUUCUGCCUCGUCUGGCCCUGUUGGGGGAAAAGGGCAGCUCUAGGGAAAAGCAGAGUUCUCUAAAGGGCUGGGCCCCUGCCUCCACCUCAGAUCUCCUCAGAGAAGUUCAGAGCCUGGAAUAGACCGGACAUUCCUAAGUUUUCUGGCAAGGAAACCAGGAAAUCAGAUCUUGAGCCAAUCUCCUUUCAGGCCCAGCCAGUUCUGUCGAAUAGGCCCUUGCCCCAGGACUUCCCGGAAAAGCUCCGCUGUGCCAGGGAAGCCACCCUUAGUUUCCCGAAUCUGCGGCCUCUAAGAUGUACUGCGGUGUGGUUCCCUCUCCCUGGCCAUGGGUCAGAUCCAUCUUCUAAGCAUGCACAGUGAACGCUUCUCCGUGGGACACAUUAGUGUGUCUCCUUAAGUCCUCUUCCAGUUCCUUCUUCGUGAACGCCUGCGUCUGCAGGGUGGAACCUGAAAAGCUUGGACUCACCGUUAGUCCCCGUUCCUUUUUCACUCCCCACGUCCAGGGAGCGUUUCCACCUCUUGGUUUUCCACCCCGCACUGGGCCAGGUGCCCAGCAUCUCUUCACUAGGAUCACUGUUAGUGCCUGAAGCUCCACCGUGGCUUCCUCCAAAACCUUUUCCAAGUGGCAGUCUUGAUAACCGGGGUAUGUCCCCUACCUGCUGAACCUGCCCAGCAGCUUCCUGGUGUUUCCUUUUAAUAAAAAAUAACUUAUUAUUA